ACUGGCUGCUUUCCAGAACCUCCAGGAUCCUACAGAACGCAGAAGCCUCUUUGCUCUCACAAUGCGCCUUCUGCCCCAGAACUCCCAAAUCGCCUCUUGAAAAAGAGAAAUCGCCAUAAUAAUACAAACAGCUGUCAGGCAUCCCAAACUGUGCCGCUAUAACCAGCCGCAGCUGAUCGCCAGGGGGAUUGUGGGAACUGUAGUUUUUCCCCCGCGAGAGCCCUCCCCGCCCUCCCUCCGGGGAGAACUGCAUUUCCCAGCAACCUCUGCUGCCCCUUAGAGGGGGUGGCGGUCGAUUGCACAACGUACUUCGGUCUGUAAUGAGAGAUGAGCAUUAACUCUGCCCGGAAGACCUGGCAAGGAUGCAGAGUUUGGGGGCUACACCGGCACAGCUCCCGCUCCACAGCCACCGCCGUCCAGAUGCUGGCCUUCGUCCCAGCCAGCCCUCCUCCGGACCCUGGGGAGGUUGAAAAGCUGCAAGGCUUCGUUUCGUGCUCCAACCGAGUCUUUGUGCUGACUGGAGCCGGGAUUUCCACCGAAUCGGGGAUCCCGGACUACCGCUCGGAAGGCGUGGGCCUUUACGCGCGGACGGACAGGCGGCCCGUCCAGCACGCCGAAUUCCUCCGUAGCGCCAAGGCCCGCCAGAAGUACUGGGCCCGGAACUUUGUAGGCUGGCCCCAGUUCUCCUCCCAUCGCCCCAACACAGCACACCUCGCUCUGAAGAACUGGGAGGCGCUGGGGAAACUCCACUGGCUGGUGACCCAGAAUGUGGACGCCCUGCACACCAAGGCGGGAAACCGGCGGCUGACGGAGUUACAUGGCUGCAUACACAGGGUGCUGUGCCUCAGCUGUGGAGACCAGACGCCCCGGGCUGACCUCCAGGAGCGCUUUGAGGCCCUCAAUCCCGCGUGGAGAGCCACGGCUCACGGAGUGGCCCCCGAUGGGGAUGUCUUCUUGACGGAAGAGCAGGUGCGCAGCUUCCGCGUCCCCCCUUGCCGCAAGUGCAGCGGGCCCCUCAAGCCGGACGUGACGUUCUUUGGAGACACCGUGAGCAAAGAGAAAGUGGACUUUGUGUACCAGCGCCUGGCUGAAUCGGACGCUGUCCUUGUGGCCGGCUCUUCGUUGCAGGUGUACUCCGCUUACAAGUUUGCUCUCGCAGCCCGCGACAGGAAGCUGCCGGUCGCCAUCGUGAACAUCGGGCCCACAAGGUCAGAUGCCCUGGCCUCUUUGAAACUCAGUGCUCGUUGUGGGGAGAUACUGCCCUUGAUUGACCCACAGUGACCAAAGCCUGCAGCCAGGGGGGGAAACUUCAGUGUUUCUAUCCUGCCCUUCCAAAAAUGGCUCAGGGCGGUUUGCGGAGAGGAAUCAAAUCAAAAUCAAAAUCUUUAUUGUUACGGUCAUUCGACCAGCAAAAACGGAGAGAAAUGAUAAAGAAUUAAGAUGGCUCCCUGUCCCCAAAGGGCUCACAAUCUAAAAAGAAACACGAGAUAGACACCAGCAACAGUCACUGGAGCUGUUUACAGGUCCCUGCUGAUACAGAUGGUGCCCAAAACGUUGUUUCAGCGGCCAGAGACAAAUCAGAGGAGGACACUUCGAGAACGAGUUCUCCGAGGGCCCCAGUCUACUUACCUCAUCCUUACACCGCUUCGGGACUUCUUCCCUUCCUCUACAAACCUCGAGGGUUCCAACACCGCCUGGUUCGGCUUCUUCUUGUGAUGUGCUGGCGGUGCAGAUAGAGGAACUGGGAAGGUCUGGAUCCUCCCUCCCAUUCACCGCCAUCAACCGUUCCAUUUUCACUCGAAUGCCAGGGCGGAAGAUCCUCAGAAAGCUGCCUGUCUCCUCCAAAUAGCCUCUUCCCUUCCAGCUUCGGCUGUGCAGGAGGGAGAAAAACUGGACGCCAUGGGAAGUCCAACGGGAGUUUUGAGGUGCAGGGUGAAGAGGGAAACGUGGGUGCCACUGCAAAGGUGGCAUUACACAGCAGGGGGUUAUAAUCCUGCAGGCAAUGAGGCUGCUUGUGUCUCGUUUAUUUAAUAUUUGCAUUUAUGCUCUAUUCUAUUUAUAUAUUGAACAAUAGAGUAAUUUAUACCCUU